GAUGAACGCUGGCGGCGUGCCUAAUACAUGCAAGUCGAGCGAAUGGAUUAAGAGCUUGCUCUUAUGAAGUUAGCGGCGGACGGGUGAGUAACACGAGGGUAACCUGCCCAUAAGACUGGGAUAACUCCGGGAAACCGGGGCUCAUACCGGAUAACAUUUUGAACCGCAUGGUUCGAAACUGAAAGACGGCUUCGGCCGUCACUUAUGGCUGGACGCGCGUCGCAUUAGCUAGUUGGUGAGGUAACGGCUCACCAAGUGAACGAUGCUUAGCCGACCGGAGAGGGUGAUCGGCAACACUGGGACUGGGACACGGCCCAGACUCCUACGGGAGGCAGCAGUAGGGAAUCUUCCGCAAUGGACGAAAGUCUGACGGAGCAACGCCGCGUGAGUGAUGAAGGCUUUCGGGUCGUAAAACUCUGUUGUUAGGGAAGAACAAGUGCUAGUUGAAUAAUCUGGCACCUUGACGGGACCUAACCAGACAGCCACGGCUAACUACGUGCCAGCAGCCGCAGUAA
rnacentral:rRNA from 1 species